rnacentral:snoRNA from 2 species
UGCCCCAUUCCAAAUAUUCAUGGACACAGUUCAUGUUUGUGUCACAUGGAACAAUGUGGCUACAGUGAAAGCACAGGUUUUGCUUCCAUCACAGUAAAAAUAAGUUACUCUGGUGACAAUGAGACCUGUAACAGGA